rnacentral:rRNA from 1 species
UACGGAGGGUGCGAGCGUUGUCCGGAAUCAUUGGGCGUAAAGGGCGCGUAGGUGGCGCGGUAAGCGUGCGGUGAAAGCCUGGGGCUCAACCCCGGGUCGGCCGUGCGAACUGCUGGGCUUGAGCACUGUAGAGGCAGGCGGAACUCCGGGUGUAGCGGUGGAAUGCGUAGAGAUCCGGAAGAACACCGGUGGCGAAGGCGGCCUGCUGGGCAGUUGCUGACACUGAGGCGCGACAGCGUGGGGAGCAAACAGG